GCGGUCCGAACGGGACCGUGCGAUUAGACAGCGGUGUUUUUGCCGUUGUCAACGUCGGUGGUCUCGUUUAAAAUCAAUUUCGACCGUUCGUUUCGGCACUGAAAAUAGCUUUUGUGACGGAGUUUAUCAAGCGGUUUUCUUUUCGUUUUUUAUUUUCGCUGAUUUUAAGCGCUACAAGUCCCGAACUCUGUAACAUCACAUUAUAACACGUGUGAACCCGAGAAAUAUGCGUUAAUGUUCUUACGUUGCAGAAAUAUCCCCUUUAACGUACGCGCGAAAAAAUCGAUU